rnacentral:lncRNA from 1 species
AUUCCUGCUUUCCCGCUCAAAUGUUGCAUUUUCUAAGACCUCCCUGGCCCGCCAUACGCCGAUCCUGAACCUACGAAAACCCAAGACUGCGGGCACGGUGGCUCAUGCCUGUAAUCCCAGCACUUUGGGAGGCCGAGGCGGGCAGAUCACGAGGUCAAGAAGUCGAGACCAGCCUUGCUAACAUGGCGAAACCCUGACUCUACUGAAAAUACAAAAAUUAGCUGGGCGUGAUGGCGUGCGCGCCUGUAGUCCCAGCUGCUCGGGAGGCUGAGGUAGGAGAAUCGCUUCAAUCCGGGAGGUGGAGGUUGCGGUAAGCAGAGAUUGCGCCACUGCACUCUAGCCUGGCGACAGAGACUCCUUCAAAAACAACAACAACAACAACAACAACAACAAAACAAAACCUCCCAAGACCCUAGUGGGCAGACACACAGCCAGCCAGACAUGGAGAGGAGCACAUUAGCAGAAGAAGACGCAAGUGGCUGGUCCUCGAGAGGACGUUGAGAGGAGCAUGCCAGCAGAAGAGCACACAACGACAGGCACCGACACACCACCGGCAGGCCAUGCACCAGCAGAAUGAUGCGGAGUUUGACGGGGCAGUCAGAGAAGAGCCUGGGCCGCCAAGGGGCCCGACUCCAGGGGAAAACCAUCUCCCUUCUGGCUCCCCCAUCUGCUGAGAGCUACUUCUACUCAAUAAAACCUUGCACUCAUUCUCCAAGCCCACGUGUAAUCCGAUUCUUCAGUGUCACCUCCCAAAUGUGGAAAUGCAUUGUCUUUCUUCUUUCCUAGACCAGUGGUCCUCAAACUUGAGCAGGCUGUGUCCUUUGCCUGGAAUGCUCUCUCUUGCUGGCUGGCUUCUUCCCACCAGCUGUGGCCAGGGCUGCUCCUUAUUCCUUCGUCAAAACUCCGUCUGCUGGGUGUGGUGCCUCACACCUGUAAUCCCAGCACUUUGAGAGGCCAAGGUGGGAGUAUCGUUUGAGCCCAGGAGUUCAAGACAAGCCUGGACAACAGAGCAAGACCCUGUCUCUACCAAAGAAAAGAAAAGAAAAGAAAAGAAACAGCCACUUUCUCUUCCAUGAGCCAGUUUAUGUUUUCUUCACGGCAUUUGUUACAAAUCACAAAUGUGGAGGAAAAAUGAAGGCAAAGCAAAAUAACAGGCAAGUCUGAAAACAAAAGUGUUGCCAGUCACGCUAAGCCUCAGGCACGCAUUCUGAAUGAAGCUAAAGUUUAAAGUCCCCUCUGAUAGAUUUGUGACUUAAAUGUCCACACUAGCAAGUGUGUUUCUCACAUGGAGAAGUAGCACGAUUUUAUGUCAGGAAAGGGAUGAGAACAUGCUUCUUGAACACAUACAAUGCUGAAGACAUUUCCUGGAAAACCAUUGGCCUUUGCUUAGGACAGUUGCAUCACACAGAGAUGUUUGUGGUUCAGAUUUAUAAGAAACAUGGGAACUGAAGCCAAAGCACUACUUUUGCUCAGUAUAACCAGGUGCCAGAUCUAAAGUGUUAGGCAGGUUCCUAUAUGUAUGUUAGAAAAAAGUUGCCCAAGUUUUGGACAAUUCCUUUUCCAUCUCUCUUACAAGUCAACAAAUCGAAGCAAUAAACUAUUCUCUGAAGAAAACAAAUUUAUUUGGUUGAUUCAAACUUUUAAUGAGACUAUUACUCCCCUGUGUGCCUUUCCUUUCUCUGGUUCUAGAAAUACAUCUAGAAAGGGGGAAAAUGUUAAUAUAUUUUCUACUGACUUUAUAUCACAAAUGCUUAGCUUAGAGGGUGGACUCUGAGGAACAGUGUCCUUUCCAAAUAUUAUAAAACUUUGUGUUCAUUCUGGAAAAACAAACAAAAUUAAUCACAAUGAUUUCCUGCUUUGGAGCAAUGAGAAAUGGGAGGGAAACUUCACCUUUUCAUAGCUUUUGAUGUUUGCACCAUGUGAAUUACCCACCCCCAAAUUUAAAAUACGAAUUUUUGAAAAAGUGUUUACCUCUGAGAAGAGAAACUAGUAGUGAAGAAUGAGGAGCUGUAGAUUUUUAACGAUUCUGAUGUAUUUGCAUUUUUCCCAAUGUUCAUGAAUAAAUAAAUGUGCAUUCAUAAUUAAAAAGAAUAAACAACCUGGAAAAAACAAAAAAAGCUCUGCGUUCACUGAUCUCUAAAUAAGAAAAGAUAAGACUUGUAGUGUGGCCUUGUACUUGUACAUCUUUUCCAUGUGCCAAAGAGCUACCCCAUGGUCAAGCCAAGUGGUGAUUAUGUAGCUUUCUCUGAACAGACAUAAUAGGGCUACACAUUCACUGUGAAAAAGCUGCAGACAGAUGACACCAGUCAACAGAACACCCUACACAGAAACUGUAAAACCAUUUUAAC